AACGAACGCUGGCGGCAGGCUUAACACAUGCAAGUCGAACGGGCGUCGCAAGACGUCAGUGGCAGACGGGUGAGUAACGCGUGGGAACAUACCCUCCGGUUCGGAAUAACUCAGGGAAACUUGAGCUAAUACCGGAUACGGCUGAGAGGCGAAAGAUUGAUCGCCGGAGGAUUGGCCCGCGUCCGAUUAGCUUGUUGGCGGGGUAAUGGCCCACCAAGGCGACGAUCGGUAGCUGGUCUGAGAGGAUGAUCAGCCACAUUGGGACUGAGA
rnacentral:rRNA from 1 species